CCUACGGGAGGCAGCAGUGAGGAAUAUUGGUCAAUGGACGCAAGUCUGAACCAGCCAUGCCGCGUGCAGGAAGACGGCUCUAUGAGUUGUAAACUGCUUUUGUACGAGGGUAAACGCAGAUACGCGUAUCUUUCUGAAAGUAUCGUACGAAUAAGGAUCGGCUAACUCCGUGCCAGCAGCCGCGGUAAUACGGAGGAUUCAAGCGUUAUCCGGAUUUAUUGGGUUUAAAGGGUGCGUAGGCGGUCGGAUAAGUUAGAGGUGAAAUCCCGAGGCUCAACUUCGGAAUUGCCUCUGAUACUGGUAGGCUUGAGAGUAGUUGCGGUAUGCGGAAUGUGUGGUGUAGCGGUGAAAUGCUUAGAGAUCAUACAGAACACCGAUUGCGAAGGCAGCUUACCAAGCUAUUUCUGACGUUGAGGCACGAAAGCGUGGGGAGCAAACAGGAUUAGAUACCCCUGUAGUC
rnacentral:rRNA from 1 species